AGAACGAACGCUGGCGGCGUGGAUAAGACAUGCAAGUCGAGCGCUGAUUACAGGGUAGCAAUAUCUUGUAGUUGGAGCGGCGCAAGGGUGCGUAACACGUGGGUAAUCUGCCAUAAAGAUUGGAAUAACUUGCUGAAAGGCGAGCUAAUACCGAAUGUGACGAUUGGAAGGCAUCUUCUGAUUUUCAAAGCUGGGGAUCCGUAAGGACCUGGCGCUUUAUGAUGAGCCCGCGGCCUAUCAGCUAGUUGGUGAGGUAAUGGCUCACCAAGGCUAAGACGGGUAGCUGGUCUGAGAGGACGACCAGCCACACUGGAACUGAGACACGGUCCAGACCACCGUACGGGUGGCAGCAGUCGAGUAAUUUUCACAAUGGCG
rnacentral:rRNA from 1 species